CCUACGGGAGGCAGCAGUGGGGAAUAUUGCACAAUGGGCGCAAGCCUGAUGCAGCGACGCCGCGUGAGGGAUGGAGGCCUUCGGGUUGUAAACCUCUUUUGUUAGGGAGCAAGGCACUUUGUGUUGAGUGUACCUUUCGAAUAAGCACCGGCUAACUACGUGCCAGCAGCCGCGGUAAUACGUAGGGUGCAAGCGUUAUCCGGAAUUAUUGGGCGUAAAGGGCUCGUAGGCGGUUCGUCGCGUCCGGUGUGAAAGUCCAUCGCUUAACGGUGGAUCCGCGCCGGGUACGGGCGGGCUUGAGUGCGGUAGGGGAGACUGGAAUUCCCGGUGUAACGGUGGAAUGUGUAGAUAUCGGGAAGAACACCAAUGGCGAAGGCAGGUCUCUGGGCCGUUACUGACGCUGAGGAGCGAAAGCGUGGGGAGCGAACAGGAUUAGAUACCCUGGUAGUCCACGCCGUAAACGGUGGAUGCUGGAUGUGGGGCCCGUUCCACGGGUUCCGUGUCGGAGCUAACGCGUUAAGCAUCCCGCCUGGGGAGUACGGCCGCAAGGCUAAAACUCAAAGAAAUUGACGGGGGCCCGCACAAGCGGCGGAGCAUGCGGAUUAAUUCGAUGCAACGCGAAGAACCUUACCUGGGCUUGACAUGUUCCCGACGAUCCCAGAGAUGGGGUUUCCCUUCGGGGCGGGUUCACAGGUGGUGCAUGGUCGUCGUCAGCUCGUGUCGUGAGAUGUUGGGUUAAGUCCCGCAACGAGCGCAACCCUCGCCCCGUGUUGCCAGCGGAUUGUGCCGGGAACUCACGGGGGACCGCCGGGGUUAACUCGGAGGAAGGUGGGGAUGACGUCAGAUCAUCAUGCCCCUUACGUCCAGGGCUUCACGCAUGCUACAAUGGCCGGUACAACGGGAUGCGACAGUGCGAGCUGGAGCGGAUCCCUGAAAACCGGUCUCAGUUCGGAUCGCAGUCUGCAACUCGACUGCGUGAAGGCGGAGUCGCUAGUAAUCGCGAAUCAGCAACGUCGCGGUGAAUGCGUUCCCGGGCCUUGUACACACCGCCCGUCAAGUCAUGAAAGUGGGCAGCACCCGAAGCCGGUGGCCUAACCCCUUGCGGGAGGGAGCCGUCUAAGGUGAGGCUCGUGAUUGGGACUAAGUCGUAACAAGGUAGCCGUACCGGAAGGUGCGGCUG
rnacentral:rRNA from 1 species